AAGCUCGCAAUCACGUCAGAUACUGAGAGAAAAGGUUUCUUUUUUGAAAAAGUGAAUAUAUUUUAGAAUUCGAAAUUUUUGAAGAACAAUAUUUUAUUUUAUUUUUUGAAUCCUGAGUAUUUUUUAAAACAAAAACAAAAAAUUUUAAAUUAGGAGGUACUGUUGUGAUUAUUUUUCGAAUUUGCUAACAUUUUUUAAAACACAAAUACUUUUUGAACUUUAAAUUUAAAAAGGCAAAAAAAAUUUAAAACAUGAUUUUUUAAAACUAGGAGGUACUGUAGUUAAAUUGUUUUAAUCGAUACCUAUUAAUAAAACUUGGCAAAUUUUUUAAAUAUGCCCACCUGAUGCAUUGCUUUAGUCCUAUUUAUUAAACUAGGGAUAUGGAAGGAAUCUUUUUCUUUGUCGCGUCUUCACAUACGACCAGUCUCACUCGGCCCAGUGACUCUCGUCAAAAUGCAUGAGGAGUCCAACUAAGUUUUCAGGUCUAUCUGACACAAACUACUCAAUUUACAUGAUGACAUGGACAUAUAUCAUGUGCAAUGCUUUUGCCUAUUAUAUUAGCCAAAUGGUAUAAAAAUAACUUUGCUCAACGCUCUCGAUCUUUGCUGGACACAAAGGCGGCUCAACAAUCCAGCUAUUUGACCUGGCCAACCUUGGUUGGUGACAAUUGGUACUACGAUCACCACCGACGAGGAUGACAAGCAAAAACAUGUGUCUGGUGUUAUAUUUAAAUGUAGGAUGUAUACCUGAGGUUGCGGUAUUAGUCAUGCUUAUUAUGUUAUGGGCAUGAGGAUGAGGUCUUUAGCCAUGGUCAGUGGGUAAUGGCGUGUGAGGGUUCUUUUCUCCCGUUGCAACGCAUGGGCAUGUUUGCUAGUAUUAUGUUUAUGUAUAUACCCAAGAAAAGCUCUGAUUUCCCUGCAUGGCACUUUGAUAAAAAAGGAAUCUUCUCAGUGAAUUCUGCUUACAAAGUAGCUAGGGAUUCAGAAGCAUCGGAGUCCAGGAGAGGCAUUCCUAGCAGCUCAGGAGAUAACAGGAACAAUUCUAACCCACCAUGGAAAAGGUUGUGGUCGCUUCCCUUGCCAAACAAAAUCAUCCACUUCCUAUGGAGGCUAGCUUGAAAUAGCCUUCCACUAAGAACAAAGUUAAUCCGUCGAGGAGUGGAUGUUGAACCCCUCUGUCCUGUAUGUCUGCGAUUAAAUGAGGAUGGGGGGCACUUAUUUUUCAGAUGCAAAAAGGUUAAAGCUCUAUGAAGAGCCCUUCAACUAGAGGAAUGGAGAUGUAAACUUGCAGGAUACACUGAAGCUGAAGGGGUUAUCGAGGAGAUUUUGAGAGCAGAGAUUGAAAAGAAGCUGACAAUAUGCACACUACUCUGGCUAUGGUGGUCAAACAGAAAUAAGUGCAAUCAAGGCGAGGCUUCAAGAACCAUUGAAGAUCUCCAAUGUUCAGUAAUGAAGCAUGUGGGUGAGUAGAACCUGUUGAACAAACGGAAAAGUUUCUGCCAUCAACAAGCCCAGGACAUUUACAGAAUAUGGGUGAUGCCUUACAAGCUGAAGCACAUGCAGCUCUUAAUGCAGUUUGGUGUGCAUCAGAAAUGGAAUGCAGGCGUAUAAUCAUGGAAACAGACGCUCUAAACCUGAAACAAGCUAUCACUAGCAGCGAUUUUGACUGGUCACAUCUUGGAACCCUGUUUAGAGAGAUUAAAUUCCAGCUAGAUAUAUCCUUUGAUAGCUUCAAUAUUUCUGUUUGCCCACGGGCAUGUAAUGUUGUAGCACAUAAUUUAGCAGCGCGUGGUGCAAGCUCAGGAAUUGGCAGUCAUCAAGUCCGGCUGGGCCAAUUCCCUCCUGAUGUAACCAACAUUGUAUCUGGGAUCUCUGCCAGUAUGGUGCGGUAAU